rnacentral:rRNA from 1 species
UACAGGGGGUGCAAACGUUGCUCGGAAUCAUUGGGCGUAAAGCGCACGUAGGCGGUUCGUUAUGUCGGAUGUGAAAGCCCUUGGCUUAACCGAGGAAGUGCAUCCGAAACUGGCGAGCUAGAGUACUAAAGAGGAUCGCGGAAUUCCCGGUGUAGAGGUGAAAUUCGUAGAUAUCGGGAGGAACACCGAUGGCGAAGGCAGUGUUCUGGGCCAGUACUGACGCUGAGGAGCGAAAGCGUGGGGAGCAAACAGG